UCUGUUCCUGGCCACUUUUGACCCAACAUUCGAGCAACACUUUCAGGAGUAACCACUGAUAUUGAGUAUACAAAGUUUGUCAAUGUCGGAGUGAUAAAAGUUUCUGGUCACCAGCUGGGUUGAAGGCAGCCAGUGGACGUGUGGUGACUAUCACUUCCUUUGGUCACAAGUGGGUCAAAGAGGUCAAGGACCUGGACUUGGACGGCGACCUUAAAUUCCAGAUCAGUCGACCACUCCGCACGCUAGAGAUCUACGCUGCCACCAAGUUAAUGAACGCCAACUUCACCAUGGAACUCCAUAGAAAACUCGAGGGAACAGGAGUGACUACCAACUGUGUACACCCAGGCAUCGUCAACACGGACAUUUUCAAUUGUAUGACAUCUAGAGUCUGGUACGGUUUCUUCGUGAAACUUUUCGUUCGAGCUUAUGCUAAGAGCAGCGUGGAGGCGCUCAGACGAGUAUUCCCUGGCAGCGUCUGAAGAGG